rnacentral:rRNA from 1 species
UACGUAGGGGGCAAGCGUUGUCCGGAAUCAUUGGGCGUAAAGCGCGCGUAGGCGGCCCGGUAAGUCCGCUGUAAAAGUCCAGGGCUCAACCCUGGAAAGCCGGUGGAUACUGUCGGGCUAGAGUCCGGAAGAGGCGAGUGGAAUUCCUGGUGUAGCGGUGGAAUGCGCAGAUAUCAGGAAGAACACCGACGGCGAAGGCAGCUCGCUGGGACGGUACUGACGCUGAGGCGCGAAAGCGUGGGGAGCGAACAGG